rnacentral:rRNA from 1 species
UACGAAGGGGGCUAGCGUUGCUCGGAAUCACUGGGCGUAAAGCGCACGUAGGCGGAUUGUUAAGUCAGGGGUGAAAUCCUGGAGCUCAACUCCAGAACUGCCUUUGAUACUGAAGAUCUCGAGUCCGGGAGAGGUGAGUGGAACUGCGAGUGUAGAGGUGAAAUUCGUAGAUAUUCGCAAGAACACCAGUGGCGAAGGCGGCUCACUGGCCCGGUACUGACGCUGAGGUGGCGAAAGCGUGGGAGCAACAGG